AGAGCGAACGCUGGCGGCAGGCCUAACACAUGUAAGUCGAGCGCCCCGCAAGGGGAGCGGCAGACGGGAGAGUAACACGUGGGAACGUACCCUUCAGUUCGGAACAACCCAGGGAAACUUGGGCUAAUACCGAAUACGUCCGUAAGGAGAAAGAUUUAUCGCUGAAGGAUCGGCCCGCGUCUGAUUAGCUAGUUGGUGAGGUAACGGCUCACCAAGGCUACGAUCAGUAGCUGGUCUGAGAGGAUGAUCAGCCUCACUGGGACUGAGACACGGCCCAGACUCCUACGGGAGGCAGCAGUGGGGAAUAUUGGACAAUGGGCGCAAGCCUGAUCCAGCAAUGCCGCGUGAGUGAUGAAGGCCUUAGGGUUGUAAAGCUCUUUCGCCCGCGACGAUGAUGACGGUAGCGGGAGAAGAAGCCCCGGACUAACUUCGUGCCAGCAGGCCGC
rnacentral:rRNA from 1 species